GUGAACAUUAGCAGUGGGGAUGAAUUACACGUGAUCUGACUCCUACUUGCAUUUGCCGACUGAGUUGGUGCUGAUGCAGGACAUUCAAGACCUCGCUUCCCUUCCUGACACUCACUGGCAAAAAGACCAGGAGGGUAUUUCCCAUACAGGUUAAUGUAGCUGAACAUGGUUGUAGCGCAGUCUGUCGUCAAGUCAUUAAUCUGAUCCGCAUAAGGACAAGCAAAUUCCUUAAAAGCACUACAGCAUUUGUCAGGUGGAAACUGGGGUCCUUUGCAUUUGCUUGUGAUGAUUGUGUAGUUCAGAAACUCGAAAUUCACGGGGCAUGCUGCAGAUAAGGCAAGCCAAUGUAUCAUUAUUCAAAUGUGCUCAAUCAACUAAGAGAGCGACAUACAUUAAUUAACUAUGUUCUCCAUAAUAAAAGGGAACGAAAAAGAUCACAUAAAUGAAAGACAAGCAAGCAGUCAUUGGAUUAGGACCAUAUUUUCUUUCUUUCUCAUAACAGUGUCCUUGAUCAGAAGGAUUCAGGAACAAUGCAAAUUAUAGCUAAUCAGAGCAGGCAAAAGGUGUGCAAAAUAAGUGCUUCACUUGGGCUAAAAUUUUAAACUCACCUUAGGCAUACCUUUCACCUUUUCUUCCCUAUAAUCAAUACAAUCAUUUUAUGUUAUUCUCAUCUUUGCUCUUUCUUUCUCCUUAUAUGCUUCAUAGGAUUACAUGUGUAUGCAUGUAGCUAAGGAAGUCUCCAGAACAGAACUAAUCGAUAAUUGCAAUGACAACCAGCGAAGAUAUUGAAAAUCAAGUCCAAAGGUUGUGUGAACAAUGGUUUUGCUUAAAAUUUGCAUCAGUAUAGCGUUUAGCUUAUGACUCACUAUUACCUUUAGGAGACUGUUAAGUUAUUUCAUCCUUUCAUCUUAGGUCAAUCAAAUUAUUGACAAAGAAUUCCAAAAGUACUUUCUAGUAUAUUACUACUUGCUGUAAAGCAGUUGAUAUAUUCAGAUAAGCCGCAAAGUAAUGUGCCAGUGUUAUCUUUAGAAUUGAGUCAACCUUGUGGUUCACUCAAAAUCUAACAAUCGGGUUAUUCUAAACAGCUGAAGCAAUUUCAUCCAUACGGGCAAUAUCAACAUGUCAAUUUUCAAAGUCAUUCACUUGCUUAAAUUGGCAUGUUUUUAUAACCAAGAACAAUGAGACAUAUAUGUUUAUCACUCUGUUAUUAUCGUAAUGCAGUUGUAUUUAGAAGUUCAACUGUAUGCAAAAUCCAUGACGCCAACACAGAUGUAACUCUUACAAGUAGUUGUGGGACUGAUUAAGCAAGAUUAAAAACUAAGACGGAAGGAAAUCCCAAUAAUAACAGAGAAUUUUGCUUCUUCCAGCACUCUAUUUAAUAUCUUGUUUCUGUUUUUGCCAUGGUUUUCACUAAAACUCCUAUCUUCCUCCAUAACAGAAUUAAUUGAAUGAAAAAAAAAAAGACCAUUUGGGCAAAUGACAGAAAAUAGAAACUUAGAGAUCUUAGAUCUCACAUAAAUAUGCAUCACAAAAUUAUGGCAAAAAGCUAAUCAAAAGAAGAACAAUUAAUUAGGAUAUAUGAAAUCAACAAAAAUCAAACCUUUCUUAGCCUGGAGAAGAUUUCUGCCAGUAAAAGCGUGCGAUUCAAAGAUACCAUCUGCAUCCAACUCAAGAACAUAUAUUUCACUACCAAACAAAAUCCCAAGUAGCAUAAAUAUAACUUUAAGAAUAGAAAAACCUUAAAUUACCUGAAAUGAAAGUUGCAGAAGACAAACCCAUCAAAAUAAACAAAAGAAAAAUAGAUAGAAACACUCUGUUGAACUCCACCAUUUCUCUCACAGCACCAGAAAAGAUCCAAUUUUUUUUGUGCUCCCACCUAUUCUCUUCAAAAAAGAUAGAAGCUUUUUACACGCUUGUACAAAACCAGUAUGCAACAGACAGCGACGGAGCAGAUUUGAAUGAGUUUAAAGAUUUAUAACAUGUCGUGAUGAUUUUGUAAUAAAAAGACAAGGAGCUGUCGUCUUAGUAGUAGUUGCUGGCUCUUGGAUUACAACCCAUAAAAACGCGGAAACCGGGAUUUUUUUUUAAUUUAAUUUUUAUUUUUCUUUUGAGUUUUUGUUACUGUCAUUAAUUUUUAUUUUUUGGUUUUUGGCUACAGAAACUGUUGUGACUGGUGACUAUUACUGUUACUUUAACCAUGUUAUCAGUUACCGUUGUGUAUUGCAGUCUGCAAAGCAAAGACCCGACAGUUUACCGUUAAUAUCGGUUUCAACCGCUCCAAUUUUCAUCCGAGAUAUUUUUCUGUUGUUAAUUUUAUUUUGAUUCCUCGUUAAAGGUUCUAUCAGAUAAAUUUGGGCUAAUGUUUCAAAAAAAAAAAGUAAAAAAGAAAAAAGAAAAAAAUGGGCUGCCUUCUCGAGUGUGGUUGAAAAUUGUACACAAUUUGUUUUUUCUUUGAGAAAAAAAAUAAUAAUAUUACAAUCUAUUGACAAAUUGUAACAUUAGUGCCAGACAUAUUAUAACACUCCAAAUCUAACAUGUGCGGAGCACAUGAAGAAGAAGGUUAUUUAUAAAUCGUAAUCUUUACUCAUAAAUUUCAAAUUGAAAUAUCUCAAAUUCUUAUUCAAAUAAAUCCACAAAUUCAUAUAUUUAACACUAAAUAAUCUCUCCCAAAACAAAACAUAAAUUUCAAGUUCAUAACAGAAAUAAAAUAAAAAGAACAUGUGUCUAUUCCUCCUUUUAUUCAAAUAGCAAAUGAAAACAAAAUCUCUAACUCCAAAGCGAAGCACACAUUUCAAAAGGAACUUAAUUUGCAAAAAAGUAAUGACAAGGGGUGAGCCGUCAACUCGGUAAGUAAAACAAUUCCUAACACACUAGGCCUAUUGAUACUAAAAAUAUUACAAGCCUUCUUUUAUUUAAAAACACAUAUCAUAAUCCAUAAAUUUUAUAAAACGAUAUAUCACGAUAAAAUAACAUAAAUUCAUUGUAUCUCAAAAUAUCAAAAGCAUAGUUAUUUACGAAAGCAAAUCAUAUAUCACAUUCACAAAAAAAUAAAAGGUUAGCUCAUGUCACAUAGUGUCACCUAUAGUCUCGGUGACUCGGCCAGAAACAAAAUCAGAAUAUCGUGUGCACACUCAGAACAGAAACCUAGUACUGAUCUAGAACAGACAUAUAUCAUAUUAUACGAUCAGAAUAAAAAACAGAAUAACUACGGACAAUAAGCCAAAACACAAUGACUUAUACGUGACACUUUGCACUAUAUGUGGCACUUUGCGACGCUUUGACCUUCAAGAGGUGUCCCCCAUACAGUCCCAAGAGGUGGCCCACGUACAAUCAUAAAUAAUUAAAAUCAUACAUAGGCACAAAACAUUCUUAUCGGAUUCAUAAAAGUUCAUAACAAUAAUUUAGGCUUGCAAAUUAUUUUAUAGAUAAAAUCAUAAAAGGUAGUCACAUCAUAAAAUAAUUUACAUAUUAAAAAACAUUUAUAAAAAUACUUUGUUAAAAAGAAUUUAGGUUUGAAAAUAUUUACAUAAAACUAAUUUUGUUAUCAAAAUCAAUUAAUCAUUUAAGUAGUAUAAAAACAUUUAUACUUAUAAUAAUAAUAUCAAAAUACUUAUACAUAUCCAGUAUACUAGGAAUGAAGUUACUUAUCUCGACAAAAUAAUUUGAAUUAACAAACCUCUAUGCCUCCAAGAGUCUCAAUCACCUCCAACACCUUAAACAAAUACAAGGCAUGACAAUUAAUAACUUAUUCUAAGAACAUAAUUUUUCUAAUUCAUAUCUGUACAGGUCUGAUGCUCAGAAUUUUAACUCUUAAUCUAAAACUAAGAAUGACAUAAUAUUCUACAAGGCUAUUCUGGACAUCCAUAGGCACCUCAUGUAAUAUUUCCACUCAUAAGCAAUUCUAAUCAAAUUAUCCCAAAUCUCCUAAGGGUAUUUAAGUCUUUUUAGAUUUUAGUAAUCCUUUUUACCCUAGUAUAAAUAGAAUGAGAUGUCUUUCCCCAUCAUAAGAGAGAGGGAAAGAGAAAUGGUUGAGGAAAAAAAAAGAACGACAAAAUAAAGAGAGAGAGAGAGAGAGAUGGAGAGAAAAGAAAAGAAAAAGAGAAGAAGAAAGUCUUCUUCUUCUUAGUUUUGCCAUAUGGAACACAUGAGAUCAAAUUGUUAUUGUUGGGAGAAGUUUUGAAGGUAAGUUUUAAUUAUUGGUUUCUAUUAAAUUGUUGUGGAGAAGCAUGAUUGUAAUAGAAGUAAAAAUCUCAAAUUUUACUGACCAUAUGCUGACACAUUGAAAAUUCAUUGAUAAAAAUUUCAUAGCAUAAUUCCUUCAAAAACUAUUGAAAAUAAUUGACGUUUCAGACAUCAUCAAUACUGUCAAAUAAUUUUUUGUUUUGAACACAAUUGUUUUAAAAAUACAAAACAAUUUAUUGCUUUAUCAUAAAAUCAUGAAAAUUAACAGAAUCAUACUAGACAUAUAUAAAAAUCAUUGAUCCAAAUUUCAUAAUUUUCGAAGAAGUCUAGCUAUGGUAAAAAUAAUUUCGUAAUUCACGUUAUUCAUUAAAAUCAUAAAUUUCUAGGUUUUCAGACUUGAUUUUGAAAGAUCAUAAUUAAUUGAAAUCUUAUCCGAUUAACUUGAAACAAGUUUCAAAACGUUCUAAACGAUAUCUAGUUUAACAUACCCAAAAAUAAGAAUAAAAAAUCAAUUUGUAUAAAUUAUUAUAAUUUUCGUAAUAAUUUACUAUCAGCAUAUUUCUACAAAAUCUUAGGUUUCUACUUCUAUUGCAAUCAUGCUUCUGCACAACAAUUUAAUAGAAACCAAUAAUUAAAACUUAUCUCCAAAACUUCUCCCAACAAUAACAACUUGAUCCCAUGUGUUGCCUAUGACAGAACUAAGAAAAAGAAGAAGAAGAUUUUCUUCUUCUUUUUUUCUUUUCUCUCUUUUCUCUCUAUCUUUCUCUCUCUCUCUCUCUUUUUUCUCUGUCGUUCUUUUUUUUUUUCCUCAACCGAUUUCUCUUGCUCUCUCCCUUAUGAUGGGGAAAGACAUCUUAUUACACAUAUCCCAUGGAUCUCACUCACUGUUUGUGUCCGUAUGGUAAAAAAAUUGCUCACAAUUAAUAAUCAGUUUCAAUCUUUCCUUAAAAUGUAAUGGCUUGUGCAAGAGAUUCUUUCUUGUACUGGUAUGUUAUUGGUUUGACAGCUAGGAUUUGCCUGUCAAAGAAAUUGAAGACGGGAGGCUACUGUUGUCCGAUUGAUGAAGUCCAUUAAUAAAUGUAACUUGAUCAUUACAAGAACAAUAUUUUAUUUGUUAUAAAGCAAAUCUCAUUACGAGAUUGUAUGUUUAGAUAAAUACAAAAACGUCAAAAAAAUUUUAAAUUCUUAAUUGGGUUUUUUUAACGUGUGAUCUGCAUUUGCCGACUGAGUUGGUGCCGAUGCAGGACAUUCAAGACCUCGCUUCCCUUUCAGACACUCGCUGGCAAAAAGACCAGGAGGGUAUUUCCCAUACAGGUUAAUGUAGCUGAACAUGGUUGUAGCGCAGUCUGUCGUCAAGUCAUUAAUCUGAUCCGCAUAAGGACAAGCAAAUUCCUUAAAAGCACUACAGCAUUUGUCAGGUGGAAACUGGGGUCCUUUGCAUUUGCUUGUGAUGAUUGUGUAGUUCAGAAACUCGAAAUUCACGGGGCAUGCUGCAGAUAAGGCAAGCCAAUAUAUCAUUAUUCAAAUGUGCUCACUCAACUAAGAGAGCGACAUACAUUAAUUAACUAUGUUCUCCAUAAUAAAAGGGAACGAAAAAGAUCACAUAAAUGAAAGACAAGCAAGCAUUCAUCGGAUUAGGACCAUAUUUUCCUUCUUUCUCAUAACAGAGUCCUUGAUCUGAAGGAUUCAGGAACAAUGCAAAUUAUAGCUAAUCAGAGCAGGCAAAAGGUGUGCAAAACAAGUGCUUCACUUUGGCUAAAAUUUUAAACUCACCUUAGGCAUACCUUUCACCUUUUCUUCCCUAUAAUCAAUACAAUCAUUUUAUGUUAUUCUCAUCUUUGCUCUUUCUUUCUCCUUAUAUGCUUCAUAGGAUUACAUGUGUAUGCAUGUAGCUAAGGAAGUCUCCAGAACAGAACUAAUCGAUAAUUGCAAUGACAACCAGCGAAGAUAUUGAAAAUCAAGUCCAAAGGUUGUGUGAACAAUGGUUUUGCUUAAAAUUUGCAUCAGUAUAGCGUUUAGCUUAUGACUCACUAUUACCUUUAGGAGACUGUUAAGUUAUUUCAUCCUUUCAUCUUAGGUCAAUCAAAUUAUUGACAAAGAAUUCCAAAAGUACUUUCUAGUAUAUUACUACUUGCUGUAAAGCAGUUGAUAUAUUCAGAUAAGCCGCAAAGUAAUGUGCCAGUGUUAUCUUUAGAAUUGAGUCAACCUUGUGGUUCACUCAAAAUCUAACAAUCGGGUUAUUCUAAACAGCUGAAGCAAUUUCAUCCAUACGGGCAAUAUCAACAUGUCAAUUUUCAAAGUCAUUCACUUGCUUAAAUUGGCAUGUUUUUAUAACCAAGAACAAUGAGACAUAUAUGUUUAUCACUCUGUUAUUAUCGUAAUGCAGUUGUAUUUAGAAGUUCAACUGUAUGCAAAAUCCAUGACGCCAACAAAGAUGUAACUCUUACAAGUAGUUGUGGGACUGAUUAAGCAAGAUUAAAAACUAAGACGGAAGGAAAUCCCAAUAAUAACAGAGAAUUUUGCUUCUUCCAGCACUCUAUUUAAUAUCUUGUUUCUGUUUUUGCCAUGGUUUUCACUAAAACUCCUAUCUUCCUCCAUAACAGAAUUAAUUGAAUGAAAAAAAAAAAGACCAUUUGGGCAAAUGACAGAAAAUAGAAACUUAGAGAUCUUAGAUCUCACAUAAAUAUGCAUCACAAAAUUAUGGCAAAAAGCUAAUCAAAAGAAGAACAAUUAAUUAGGAUAUAUGAAAUCAACAAAAAUCAAAC
rnacentral:lncRNA from 1 species